AUGUCUGACAGCGAGAAAGAAGUGCCAGUGGAGGUCGAAGGCGCGACCCGGGGGGCCGACUGGGAGGUGGUCACGCUCACAGCCUCCACCUACGCGGCUGCGCCCAGCGGACCAGAAGGAGGAGCAGAGGGCAGGAGGCUCGGCGACGACAACGACGGCCGGGGCUCGUCCAGCACGCUGCUCAUGUCGGACCACUUCGUGUUCCCCCCCAGCGAGCACGAGAACCUGCCCAUAGAGACCGCCCUGCUCGAGCCUCAGGAAAGCACCAGCGUGGAAGAUGCCGGCUUCAAGAAUGUUGGUGGAGGCUACGAUGAUGGGUCCGAGACUGUCAAGUACUAUGACGAGGGGAAGAGCCUGUCGGUACGUGAUGCCGAGAUGAUGAUGGGUGAUGUGGCUGAGUUCCACGCAGAAGAUGACGCACGCGGUUACGUUGUCCAUGAUGAUGAUGAUGAUUCCCAGGACAAGUCUGAUGUGCCUCCUCAGGACAGCAGCAGCAGCAGCAGCAAGGGCCGCGGCUCUGGUGCCCCCUGCCAGUGCUGGUUGAAGAAGCACAUGUCAUGCCUGUAUGACCAAGCUAAGGACACUAAUCAUCUCUGGGGUGCGGUGGUCGUGGCUGCCCUGGUUGGCCUUGUCAUCUUGUGGCGCAAAGACAAGUUGCACAUGAGCUGCCUUAAAUGGCGCUCUCGCUCGGCAGUCAGUUGA
rnacentral:rRNA from 1 species